GGUAUAAUAGAUACUUUAUAUAUUUUUUUUAGAAAGUAAAUGCUCAAUUAAACAUAAACUACCCUGAAAUGUAUCACUUUUCCAUAAUUAGCCAAAUAUACAAAAACAACUUUUCCAUCGAACAACUUUCUGCACGAAAUUUGAUGCAAAAUAAACUUUUAUUCGAAUAAAAUAAAAUGAAUAUAAUGGUUAUUCACCACCGCUCUAAUUCAAUGCCGAGAGCUCCUACUUGAAGAGAGGUUGGCACUAAUCAGCUGAGCAGCCAUUUUAAGAUAGGAUUCAAAAUUUUAUGUGUUAUCCUCCAAGUUUUCAUUCAUGAAGCCAAGGGUGUCAUUAACAAUAAAAUUAAGGACUAACAAGCGAGAGUCCAUUUAUUCCUUCCUCGAACUUGGUAUUCAUACGGUAUGAACAGUAUGGAGCACGCAAUCAUAAAAGUCGGCGUCCAGAAGUCGGCGAGCCCAUCCAAUUCUACGCCGAUACGAACCAAUGGGUUGCCCAAAAAAAUUGUGAGCGCCUCAAAAGGGCCAAAUAUUUAAUCAUCCCAACUAGAUAUCGCCGGCCUAUUUAAAGACCCUCCCCAUACCACCCCUCCCAUCUUCACCUCUCUGCACUCUUUGGCCAGCCAACCUCCCCUCUAUAAAUCCAUUAAAUAAAACCCACCUUCCAUUCUCCCUCGACUAACCUAUCCCAUCUCCUCUCCUCAAACUUCUACCUGAUAAAAGAUAUGGGAAGGAUGUCAAAGUAUAGCACGCUGUUUGUUCUAGCACUUCUCCUCUUUGUCUCCUUCAGCCGAGCAGCACGGCCUGAGCCCGUGGAUCCAAGGACUCACCAAGUAGAGGCUGUGGAGGAGGCCAGUUUUGAUGAAGGGUGUGGCGUAGUUGGCGAGGAGGAGUGCUUGAUGAGGAGGACCCUUGCGGCUCACACUGACUACAUCUAUACCAAAGAGAAGAAGAACUGAUAGGAGGAGGAGCAGUUGGGCUAUUUUGGUUCUCUGGUUUUGCUGUUCAAAUAUGGUGCUUAUUCUAUGUAUAGCUUUUUAGUUCUAUAUGGCGAUAGUAUCUCAGUUUGUUAAAAGGAUAUCUUUUGUUGCUAUGAGUAUGGAUUGCAGGGUUUUUCUGGAGAGUUUGUGGAUUUAAAUGAAGACUGCAAAGAUAUAGAUAGCAAACAAGAAAAUGAGCAUGGAGUUAAGUCUUUGUGGAUUUAAA